rnacentral:rRNA from 1 species
GACGAACCGUGCGAACGUUAUUCGGAAUCACUGGGCUUAAAGCGCGUGUAGGCGGGACGGCACGUCGGUCGCUGAAAGCCCCCCGGCUCAACCGGGGAACGGGCGCCGAUACGACCGGCCUGGAGGGACGUAGGGGGGACCUGGAACUUCCGGUGGAGCGGUGAAAUGCGUUGAGAUCGGAAGGAACGCCCGUGGCGAAAGCGAGGUCCUGGACGUCUGCUGACGCUGAGACGCGAAAGCCAGGGGAGCGAACGGG